GGACAGACAGUGUAUAGACAGACAGUCUGGAAUAAAGUGGUCUGGGGCAUGCCCCUGUUGUUUUAACCCUGCAGCUGAAACCAUUGCCAUUCUGCAUGAACGCAAUGUUUACAAUGUGGGGUUAAUAUGCCUUUAAUAGCUAUCACACUGAAGACACUUCCAAUGAAAUAGCCCAGUUAAACUUGUCUUAUUGAAGCCGUCUGAUUGAUGAAGCGUGGC